CUGAUGUGUAAACAAGAUUGCUGCAGAGGUGGGCCACAGUCAUGAGGGACAUGACCUGGUUCCCUUAGCCAUCCCAACACAUUCCUCUUAUGGAGGCAGGAAACCCUCAGAACAGGCUCCUUCUGAGGGCCCUGCCUGCAUUUUUCUGUCGCCGGUGCCUCCAAAGAGGGAAGCCUGUGGAUGCGGAUCCGACGUGCACGUGAGCCAGCUGGGUAAGUGAAGGGUUUGCUCAGACAUGUCACAGAGCUGCACAUAUUUUUUUGAAGUGUACAGCAGGCUUUGACAACACAGGCCUUUACACAGAGUGGUUUAGUGAGGCUCCUUGCUCCCUCCUUCUUCGU
rnacentral:lncRNA from 1 species